UGACAGCUGACAAAAAAGGCACAGUGGC
rnacentral:piRNA from 1 species